rnacentral:rRNA from 1 species
UACAGAGGUGGCAAGCGUUGUUCGGAAUUACUGGGCGUAAAGGGCGCGUAGGCGGCUCGACAAGUCCCGCGUGAAAGCCCCCGGCUCAACUGGGGAACUGCGCGGGAAACUGUCGGACUUGAGUUCGGGAGAGGGAAGCGGAAUUCCUGGUGUAGCGGUGAAAUGCGUAGAUAUCAGGAGGAACACCGGUGGCGAAGGCGGCUUUCUGGACGGAUACUGACGCUGAGACGCGAAAGCGUGGGGAGCAAACAGG